rnacentral:tRNA from 1 species
GCCCCGUUCGUCUAGCGGCCUAGGACGCCGCCCUCUCACGGCGGUAACACGGGUUCAAUUCCCGUACGGGGUA